rnacentral:lncRNA from 1 species
ACUCAGACCAGGCCUCACUAGAGCUCGGAUGCCUGGGCUUGCCUCUGGGAUUGGCUCCAGAGGCGAUGGAAUGUUAUCCAGGUAGCUAAGGCCUGUGUAGACGGAGCUUUGGAGAUCAAGGACUUUCCUAGAAUUUAUAGAGGAUAUGGGUCAAUGGGGCAGGAUCCACUGGAGGUGGACAGUGACUGCCUGUUCCCGAGUCUCUUGAGAUGCCCUCUGUGUCCCCCUCCCCCAGUCUCUCCUCACUACACUCCAGCACAUUCUGCUUCUGCUAGGAGUCUGAUCAAAGUUCCUUUCAUCGACCUGGUGGCAAUCUGCUGUCUGUCUGGCCCCAGGGCCAUUGAAGCUUCUGCCUUCCCCAAAGCAUGUUACAGGCCUGUUGGAGGUGGAGCCCAGGAAGAAUUCCCUCAGUGUGUCCUCCAUGGCUGCUGCCUCUUCCCAGUGGACAAGCUCCCAGAGUGAAGCCAGUGUCAUCGCAGGCCUCCUCGUGUCACCCCAUGCCUCUUCUUCUCAUGUCCCAGCUGGCCAGAUCCACAAAUGAAAGAAUACAGCGACCCUGUCAUCCCAGAGUGCGUGCUGACAGGCGGGCCCAAGGAUCCUGGCACAGGAGUAACACAAAUAUUAGAAGGUAGAGACAAGAGGACCAAUAGUGUAAGGUUAUCCUUAGCUACACUGCAAGUUCAAAGCCAGCCUGGGCUACAUGGGACUUGGUCAAGGAAGGGAAGUGGGGGGGGGGGGGGACACUAGAAAACAGGAUGGGUGUGACCAUAUAUGCUUUUAAUUCCAGCAUUCUGGAAUCCUAGGCCAGCCAGGUCUCAAAAA